CCAUGUGUUUCGUGUGGCGUAGGGUGGGGGUUGGCGAGCGUGACGGAAGCGGGAGGCCCGCAUCGCUGGCACCCCGCCUGACGACCAGAGCUCAGUCAUGGGGCAAAGCACCCGCAGGGUGGAGGAAGAGGAGGUAAAACGGUAACGUAGGAGGGUAGUGUUAACUUUAACUGCUUUUCCAGACCUUCUACUGCUUCACUCCAACCAGAAGAACGACCCCCCCAACACCCUGUCCUACUGUGACACACCCACACACCAAGUGUAUAUAUACACACAUUCCAGGAGAAGGGAUGGGAGCGUGAUAAUCGGGAAACAACGGCUGUUAGUUACAGAAAAUGCAUUACGGCGUGAGCGCAGGCUACAGAGCACAGGGGAGGAAGUGGCGGGAUUAGGAACGAGGAGAGAACGAGCCGACUUCCUCCCCCCUCUCUGUAGUAAACUGUCGAGAUUUACAAGGCCUCCAGGGAUAAGGAUAUCCUAUCUUCGUCCCAUCAAAUCUGGACAGCUCCUGAUUUAAAAAUAAUCCUAAAUCACAGCGUGGCAGAUGUCAGUGGGGCAUCAGGAGGUCAGGAAUGGAAAAUGUGCCGUUCUUGUCAGAUUUGGAGCUGUGAGGCAUCUACACGGCAUCUCCUCGGGAGGCGUUAGCUUUAAUAUGCUCAAUGUAACAAUAGGAAGCAAAGAAGUUUUCAUUUUUAUUGACGAAUUGAGAGCCAGCUUUUGCAUCGCCAGGCAUUGGAUGCUACCCAGAAGCCUCCCCUGUGACGACCGCAGGUCCUUGUAGACCUCUUCAGCGGGAACAGGAAGCACUUCGCAGCGUGGGUCGCGACCCCUCUCGCUCAGCCUCAUGAGUCAAAGCUGGCCCACCGCGGCGAAACAGUUCCGGGCCCGUCCGAGAAGGCGUGGAAGGCUGUUCAAAAGGUUGCUCCACCGUGUCUCUGAACUCCAAAGUCAGACGGAGGGAAGAGCACAUCUUUGGAGCGCCGGCGUGUAACCUCAUUACACACCAGACCCAGAAAGGCCCGUCUGAAUGCAGCUGCAGCCGAGAGCCGACGUCCAGGAGAGCUGCUGCCGCCGAGCAACGCGGGUCCCUUUGGACCCCAUCUGAAGCAGAAACACAGGAACCUCCACCUGUUGCCCGCCACGCUUUCUGCUUAUUUGGAACAAUAUUCUAUUUCACAUUUCCAUCUCAUGGUAUUUUCAAAAUAAAAGCUUUGACUACA